GACGAACGCUGGCGGCGUGCUUAACACAUGCAAGUCGAACGGAAAGGCCCUGCUUUUGUGGGGUGCUCGAGUGGCGAACGGGUGAGUAACACGUGAGUAACCUGCCCUUGACUUUGGGAUAACUUCAGGAAACUGAGGCUAAUACCGGAUAGGAGCUCCUGCUGCAUGGUGGGGGUUGGAAAGUUUCGGCGGUUGGGGAUGGACUCGCGGCUUAUCAGCUUGUUGGUGUGGUAGUGGCUUACCAAGGCCUUGACGGGUAGCCGGCCUGAGAGGGUGACCGGCCACAUUGGGACUGAGAUACGGCCCAGACUCGUACGGGAGGCAGCAGUGGGGAAUAUUGCACAAUGGGCGGAAGCCUGAUGCAGCAACGCCGCGUGCGGGAUGACGGCCUUCGGGUUGUAAACCGCUUUCGCCUGUGACGAAGCGUGAGUGACGGUAAUGGGUAAAGAAGCCCCGGCUAACUACGUG
rnacentral:rRNA from 1 species